GAUACAGUCGCGAACCUAUGAUGACCACUGCACCGGAUUUCCGGGAACUGCACGUGUGGGAUUUUGCGUUCCUCUGCUUGUGCUAGUUUUAAAACAUGGACGCGUUCGAUCUCUUUCGGAAACUGGGAUCCGGGGCCAGGUUUGAUUUGAAGCGGUUUAGCGGGGAUGCUGAGAAGUUUAAGUUAAAAAAAGGCGAUGAGAGUAAUUUAAAUUCAUCUACUGCCUUGAAAAGUCUUGAUUUUUUUGGUACUGAAGAGAAACAGGUUUCAAGAACAAAUGAUACAAACAAAAAAUUAGAUCAAAGGGGAAAUGGAGAUUCUGAUGUCACAAAUAAAGCAAGCAAAAGAAAGAAAGAUUUGGGGAGAGGUGUAAAGAAACGGAAAAUACAAGAGUCCGAUGCAGGAGACGUCUCUGCUGGAGAUGACUCCAUCCUGUGGAUGUCCUCUCUUGAGGCAAAACUACAAGAUGGUAAAGGAAAAAGCAAGAAAAAACUCUCAAUAGAGAAAAUGAAGCAGCAAAGACUGGAAAAGAUAAACCACUUCCGGAAUGAGCAUAAAAUUUAUGUCCAAGGCACAGAUAUUCCAGAACCGGCUGCCACAUUCCAACAGCUUGAGCAAGAGUAUAAGAUUCUCUCCAAAAUAAUGCAAAAUGUGAAAGAUGCGGGCUUCCAUACACCAACGCCUAUCCAGAUGCAAGCGAUACCCAUCAUGCUACAUGACCGGGAAAUAUUGGCAUCUGCUCCUACAGGCUCUGGGAAGACAAUGGCUUUCUCUAUUCCAAUUUUAGCACACCUUCAAUGCCCAAAGAAUAAAGGCUGUAGAGCAUUGGUCAUAUCCCCCACAAGAGAACUUGCAAGCCAGACUCACCGAGAACUGGUCAAGCUUUCAGAUGGAAUUGGAUUUCGCAUUCAUGUAAUUGACAAAGCAGCUGUGUCUGCAAAAAAGUUUGGACCAAAAUCUUCAAAGAAAAUUGAUAUCCUGGUGACAACGCCUAAUAGGUUAAUUUAUUUGCUCAAACAAGAUCCCCCUGGCAUUGAUCUCUCCAGUGUUGAAUGGUUGAUUGUUGAUGAAUCAGACAAAUUAUUUGAAGAUGGAAAGACAGGAUUCCGAGAUCAGCUGGCUUCUAUAUUUGUGGCAUGCACAUCCCAUCUGCUUAAAAGAGCCAUGUUCAGUGCAACAUUUGCUUUUGAUGUAGAACAGUGGUGCAAACUACACCUUGACAAUGUGGUUUCCGUUUCUGUUGGUGCAAGGAACUCUGCAGUGGAGACUGUAGAACAGUCGCUGUUAUUUGUCGGAUCAGAAACAGGCAAGCUUUUGGCUAUGAGGGACCUCGUUAAAAAGGGCUUCGCUCCACCAGUACUGGUGUUUGUACAGUCUAUCGAACGGGCAAAGGAGCUGUUUCAUGAACUCAUUUAUGAAGGAAUCAAUGUGGAUGUUAUACACGCAGAAAGAACGCAGCAGCAGAGAGACAACGUUAUUCAGAGUUUCAGAGAAGGGAAAAUCUGGGUUCUUAUUUGCACAGCCUUGCUAGCAAGAGGAAUUGAUUUUAAAGGUGUUAAUAUGGUCAUCAACUAUGAUUUCCCUGCUGGCGCCGUGGAGUACAUACACCGAAUAGGGCGAACUGGUCGAGCCGGCCACAAGGGUAAAGCAGUCAGUUUCUUUACUGAGGAUGAUAAGCCUAUGCUUCGCAGUGUAGCGAGUGUGAUUCAGAAAGCAGGAUGUCCAAUUCCGGAUUAUAUUAAAAGUUUUCGCAAACUACAAAAAAAAAACAGAAAAAGAGGAUGAUCAAGCGCCCUCUAAAGAGAGAUCAGAUCCGCACAACUCCAAAAUACAUUCUGGAAAAAGCAAAAAGAAAAAGGAACAUCAUUAAAAGAAAUCUGAAAGAAAAGGAAAAAGUUAGUGCUCAAGAAGACAACAAGCAGCCAGAAGCACAUGAAACAUGAAAACAUCACUGUUCUUGAAUGCAAAUCCAGACAUCCACAACUGUAGAAAAAUCUAGACAGAUCUGAAUCUGUCUGGGCAGAUUGCAUAUAUAAACAGAAAAUCACUUUUAGACACAUCAGAGUUUUCAUGUGAUAUUAAAAGACUUCUGGACCCCAGCACAGUUCUACCUACAUUGUGCUGGGCCCCCCCUUGGAAUUAUGAGCCCUGAGAUGACUUCCAGCAUUGCCCUUAUUUAGAUUUGCCAGUGAAAGCCAUGGAGAUGCAAGUUCCACUAAUGUAGAGUCACUGCUUUAUGAGUACAUGACAUAUUCAUACUUGCCCAACUUGCUAACAACUAAGCCCUUCUGCUAGCUGCAAAUAGCUACUGUCUUAGACCAUUACUGUUACCAUUAUGAUAAAUGCUGGGGAUUUGUCACUGAAAUGCACUAUUUUAUAUUGUCUAUUUUUGUAGAUUUUCCUUAAAAAUGCAUUUCGGACUGCCAUUAAAAACAUCUGUGGUUUUCCUUGCGUAAUUGCUUAGACCAGGUCUGACUGCAGAAAUUAGGUCUCCUGAAGUCUAGCAGCCCAAAUGCUGCGCAUGCUUCUGUUAACCACUAAAUGUGCAUAAUGGGAAUGGGAAUCUUGGCUAUAGAUGAGCUGAUUAUGGAUCCCAUUUUUCAGUGGUAUAAACAGCGAGAAGAGGCAGUGGAGAGAAUAUUAAGAGACAGACCGAUAAUACUUGCUAUAGCAAUUACAUUUACAAAUAUUUUAACUUGUUUAAUAUAUAGUGGAAAUGUAUUUGGAAUCGUGUUUUCUUUCUUUAAGCAAAACAUUUUGACUGGACAUCCCCUUUUAAUUGAAAGGCCAACACGCAUUCCAGAUGCUCUUUGGUUCUCCUGUUUCUUUUGCUUUGCAUGUGAGUUGUGCAUUAUAAACUAAAGUAGAACUAGUUACUGAAUGCAAGACAUGAACCAUUUAAAAACCAAGAUUUGGAAAUUGUUUGUAACUGAGUAAAGUUAAGACUGAGAGCCAUAUGAGAAGGUUUUUCUAAACUAAAUAUAUUCCAGAUGGGGAAAAAGAUGUUUAAUUGUUUAUUAAUGAAGUUGGGUCAAUACUGGUGAUUGGCUGUGCUAGUAAACUGGGCUGUAGGACAUUUUUAUUCAAUCCACAAAUAAAUUGGUCUGAGUUUUGUAAAGGGA